UACGUAGGUGGCAAGCGUUGUCCGGAUUUACUGGGCGUAAAGAGCGCGCAGGCGGUCGUUCAAGUCGCGUGUGAAAGCCCCCCGGCUCAACUGGGGAGGGUCACGCGAUACUGAUCGACUCGAAGGCGGAGAGGGUAGUGGAAUUCCCGGUGUAGUGGUGAAAUGCGCAGAUAUCGAGGAGAACAGCGGUGGACGGAAGGCUCGGGUCGUCUGGGUCCGUAUAUUGAGCGGCUGGAGG
rnacentral:rRNA from 1 species